GAAGGGACACCACAGAGGCCAACUACCUCUGUACUCAUUGGAAUGAAUGGUUUGACCAUUCUCUCUGCUGACACUCAGCUGUUUCACAACUCUAGUCAGUAAAACAGAAUCUUCAGCUUAAGUAUGCAAGGGAAGUGUAAAAAGCAGGUAUAUCAUAAAAAAAAAGGUCUCUUCUCUCAGAGAGGUAAAAGGAAGCAUUCUGAACAAUAAAGCAGCAAAACAUUUUUCAACAGAUAUCUCUGCAAGAUAAGUUGACUACAAAGCAAAGUGCUUAAGACUCUCAGUGAAGUACUAGUAGUUAGAAGAGUUCAUUUGAUGUUUUAAAAUUACUCUUGUUAAUCUGUAAAAGGUGAAAUAAAAGAAUGCUCCAAAAAC